rnacentral:rRNA from 1 species
UGUGCCAGCAGCCGCGGUAAUACGUAGGUGGCAAGCGUUGUCCGGAUUUACUGGGCGUAAAGGAUGCGUAGGCGGAUACUUAAGUCAGAUGUGAAAAUCCCGGGCUUAACUUGGGAACUGCAUUUGAAACUGGGUAUCUAGAGUGCGGGAGAGGAAAGUGGAAUUCCUAGUGUAGCGGUGAAAUGCGUAGAGAUUAGGAAGAACACCAGUGGCGAAGGCGACUUUCUGGACCGUAACUGACGCUGAGGCAUGAAAGCGUGGGGAGCAAACAGGAUUAGAUACCCCAGUAGUCC